rnacentral:lncRNA from 1 species
CUCUCUCCCUUUCUUUAUUUCCUUUUUCCUUAUGCAACUUGCCACAUACGUCAAUCAUAAACAAAUCGACAGGUUCAGUGAUCUCUAAAUGAAAAUUUUAUUGUCAUCCAUUUGUGAGCAUACAAACGACAUGACUACCUGCAGUUUGCACAGCCGCAUGUCUUAGCCUCAACUACACAAGACACUUGUGCAUUGCCAGUGCAUCUAUAUUCCCAGCAGCAUGCCAUUACGGUACAGAUUUUUCCUUGGCAACAGCUGCAUUGUCCGCAAGUAUGAUAUACUCGAGCUGCUUCUGGCAUGUAAGCCAACUGGAACAAUGUCUUGAUGGACUCCACAUCCACGACUUCAGUAAUGUUACUUGCAGGUUCCAUUGCUCCUAUUUAUGAUGCAAACCACGGUUAUACUCCUUGGGCAAAAUCACAAGAUAACAAGUGAAAUUCAUCUCAACAGACUGCACGACUUGACUAUACAAGUGCUAAUCUUAGUCACAUACUGAGAAAACCAAAACUGUGUCAUAGAAACAAUAGUGCAAUUAGUCUUGACUCUCUUAAUAAUGCUUUAAAUUGAUAGAGGUCACACAAUUGCACGCACCUUCAGCUUGGCUUAUGUAGACAAAGAAAGGGAUCAAAAUUAGAGCAAGAACAUUUUGCGCCAUUUUCCCCAUAGAGAUGUACCGAAACAGAACCAAGUUCUUCGGUGGAUAUGUUUUGUCUUCUAAACUCGUGAAAAAUACAGAACAAAUUUGG